AAGAAAAUAGCAAAAGUUUACAAGUGAAGAUGAUGAUGAAGAGUUUUAGUUUGCUUCGUCUCCUAUCUGCACUUCUCUUCUUCAUCCUUCUUUCCAUUGUUUACUCUACCAAAGGUAAAACCCAAUUUUUUAAUUAUACUUCAUUCCUUUAGUUUCUCUACAUGCAACACUCUUAAUUACUACUAAAAUUAUUGGUUAAUUAACAAACCCAGAUUAUAUUUUACUUAUUUUCCAUUUAGAAAUACACAUGUAAAUUAAAAUAUUGUUAUUAUAUAUACCCAAAGUAUAUUAUGACAGUCAUUAUAUAUGAAUAUGUAUAUGGCUUUCAAUUCCUGGCAUGGAUAUAUGAUCUUUUAGUUAAAGUUUGUGUUUGUAUUUCUGUUUGUUCAAUAAUAGUACUGCAGCUGCAACAGCUUUAAUAUCAGAUGGAAUAUAGAAAAAUUAAACACAAACAUAUUUAAAAAAGAAAAAAAUUGCCUUAGAAGUGAAAAAGUGGAGAUUUUAAGAAAGGGGUUGGUGUUGCAUGUAAGAGAGAGAGAAGGGAAGUUUGUACGUUAGAGAAGGAAGGGAAAGGAAUGAGUUAAUUAGGUCAUCCUUUGCAUGUAAGACAGAGAGUGGAAGAGAAAAGCUGGUUUAGGCCUUUGGCAUGUUAGAGAGAGAAUGAGAAUUUUUUGUUUCAUGAAUUACUUUCAGUACAAAACUCAGUUUCCAGGUCCACAUCCCCAUACACCCAAACUAAUUUAAUUUAAAUUUAGUCUCUAAGUUAAAAAAAUCCAAGUUAAAAUUGUAUAUUUUGUACCCUAGAACUAAAAAAAUGAAAUAAUAUUUGAAUCUCAACAUUGAAAUUAAAUUGUAAUUACCUGAUGAUGAUAUAUCUAAUGAGUAAGGACUGUAUUGAAAGGUACUAAAAUCAGAAGUAAUAAAAGAAAACUUGACCUAAAAUCUAAGGUCUAAAACAGUAUUUUCUUUUUAUUCUAUAAAUAUUUAUCCCACGAUGUACGUUAAUAGCCAUACUAAAAUUGUAUGAUAAUAAUACGUUGCAUAUAUAUCGUGUUGGUUCUGUAAUCUUGGAUGGUAUUAAUUGUUUUCCAUAUGUAUGUGGUGAUCAUGGUUUCAAUCAAAAGCAGGAGUUCCUGAUGUCAAAGUUCUCAGCAAUGCUGCAAUUAUUCAUGAUCUUAUGCCCAAGUUUGCGAACCCCUUUGGUGGUGCUGCUGCUAUGACCAAUCGUUUCUUCUAAUAAUUCUACUUCAAAUAAUAGAUUAAGGUUGUAAGAAGAUAUUGCACACCAUAUUACUGUUUCUUUUAUAUGAACACAAGCAUGAGACUUCUAACUACUACUUGUAAUGGCAUUAUGACCAAGAAGAAAAAGAACCAUGUGGGUGAGGUGACCAUAAUGAUAAUAAUUUAUAGUUAUUAAAUGGAGUAAUUGCAAAGGAAAAGAG
rnacentral:lncRNA from 1 species